CUCUCCUCCCAACUGAGCUUGAGUGUGGACAAGAAGAAACAGGACUCCUCCAGUCUCAGCCACCCCGGGGGGCACUGGUUGCAGCAGUAACCUAAAGCGGGGUACACACUACUCAGUGGAAACAUGGCCAAAGUAAAGAGUCAAGGACAGGAACAACCCCGUGAUGCAGAAGAUGCGCCGAUACAUUUAAGUGUUCACCAGGGAGGACGAAAAGGAGGAAACGGAAGGAUCGGAGAAGGCCGACGUGAACCCAAAGGUCAGACCGAGAAAUAGGAGCUCCAUGGCAGGCUGAAAGAUGAUUCAUGAAAGUGCUUUGGGUGCCGACAUGGAGGUGGAAGAACCUGAGGAUGAGAAAGACAUUCAAUUUGUCUCGACAAAGCCAAUGAAAUGAAUGACUUCACGUUCUAUCCUUUUAGUCUUUAUCGUAAAAUGGUGCAAUUCUUCUUGCAGUAUAACAUGGUAUAAAGGAGUGUCUUAUUUUUAUUGCAACAUACAGUAUUAACAGGUGGCAGAAAUAUACAUUCAUUCAUUUAUUCAUUCAUCUUCCGUACCGCUUAUCCUCCCUCACUAGGGUCGGAGGCGUGCUGGAGCCUAUCUCAGCUAUCUUCGGGCGAGAGGCGGGGUACACCCUGAACUGGUCGCCAGCCAAUCGCAGGGCACAUAUAAACAAACAACCAUUCGCACUCACACAGAAAUAUACAGUCCCCUCCAAAAGUAUUGGAACGGCAAUGUCAAUUCCUUUGUUUUUCUUGUAUACUGAAGACAUUUGUGUUCCUGAUCAAAAGAUGAAUAUGAGACAAAAGUUCAGAAUUCCAGCUUUUAUUUCAUGGUAUUUACAGCUAGAUGUGUUAACAACUCAGGAGAAAGCACCUUAUGUUUGAAGCCAGCCACUUUUCAAGUGAGCAAAAGUAUUAGAGUAGACAUUAUUAAAUUAACUUGAAGUGAAUAACAUUUCUGCGACUGACUGGCGACCAGUUCAGGGUAUAGUCCGCCUUUCGCCCGAAGUCAGAUGGGAUAGGCUCCAGCGCCCCACGACCCUAACCAGGAUAAGCGGUGUUGAAAAUGGAUGAAUGGAUGGAUGAAUAACAUUUAAUAUUUGGUGGCAUAACCCUUACUCACAAUAACUGCAUCAAGCCUGCGACCCAUUGACUUGACCAGACUGUUACAUUCUUCAUUUGAAAUGCUUUACCAGGCCUUUACUGCAGCCUCUUUCAGUUCUUGUUUGUUUCUGGGGGUUUCUCCCUUCAGUCUCUUGAGGAGGUAAAAUGCAUGCUCUAUUGGGUUAAGGUCCAGUGAUUGACUUGGCCAGACCUUUGACUUUUUCCCCCUGAUGAAGUCCUUUGUUGUGUUAGCAAUGUGUUUUGGGUCGUUGUCUUGUUGCAUCCAAUUAGUUUGGAUACAUUUUUCUCUAAAUCGCCAGACAAAAUGGUUUUGUAGACUUCAGAAUUCAUUCUGCUGCUAUCAUCAUGAGUUACAUCAUCAAUAAAGACCAAGCCAUCACAUUA